GUCCCAUAGUCUUUUAGACUACUGGUUUAUUGGGGCUUGAUGAGAUGGUGAG
rnacentral:tRNA from 1 species